UACGUAGGGUGCAAGCGUUGUCCGGAAUUAUUGGGCGUAAAGAGCUCGUAGGCGGUUUGUUGCGUCGGCUGUGAAAUCCCGAGGCUCAACCUCGGGUCUGCAGUCGAUACGAGCAAACUAGAGUGUUGCAGGGGAGACUGGAAUUCCUGGUGUAGCGGUGAAAUGCGCAGAUAUCAGGAGGAACACCGGUGGCGAAGGCGGCUCGCUGGACCGGAACUGACGCUGAGGCGCGAAAGCGUGGGGAGCAAACAGG
rnacentral:rRNA from 1 species